rnacentral:rRNA from 1 species
UACGUAGGGUGCAAGCGUUGUCCGGAAUUAUUGGGCGUAAAGAGCUCGUAGGCGGCCUGUUGCGUCCGCUGUGAAAGCCCGGGGCUUAACCCCCGGGUCUGCAGUGGAUACGGGCAGGCUAGAGGUAGGUAGGGGAGAAUGGAAUUCCCGGUGUAGCGGUGAAAUGCGCAGAUAUCGGGAGGAACACCGAUGGCGAAGGCAGGUCUCUGGGCCGAUACUGACGCUGAGGAGCGAAAGCGUGGGGAGCGAACAGG